rnacentral:tRNA from 1 species
GUGUAGCUCAGUGGUAGAGUGCUUGCCUAGUAUGCAUGAGGAUCAGGGUUCAAUCUCUAGCAC